UACGUAGGUGGCAAGCGUUGUCCGGAUUUACUGGGCGUAAAGAGCGCGCAGGCGGUCGUUCAAGUCGCGUGUGAAAGCCCCCGGCUCAACUGGGGAGGGUCACGCGAUACUGAUCGACUCGAAGGCAGGAGAGGGAAGUGGAAUUCCAGGUGUAGCGGUGAAAUGCGUAGAUAUCUGGAGGAACACCGGUGGCGAAGGCGGCAUCCUGGACCGGUAUUGACGCUGAGGCGCGAAAGCCAGGGGAGCAAACGGG
rnacentral:rRNA from 1 species